CUUGUCCACCCCACCUCAGCUUGGUGAGGAGAAAGCUCAGCGCUUUCCCCAGUGCUUCCAUGACCUUUGGCCAGUAAAGACUUAAAAUAUCAUAUCAUAAGAUGAGAGAAACCAGUUGGAACUUAACUUCUAUCCCGUAUCCUUAGAUUAUUCAAAGAAAAACAAAACACGGUCAACAGGCAGUGGAACUCCUCACUCCAGUGUGAUAUUCCUGAGAGAAUAUUGACUUAUAGUCACUUCAUCUCUGGGACAAGUAUUGAACAUAGGGGAAGCCUUAUAUAAAAUUGUUCAAUAAACAAAAGAUGUCUUUAACAUGUGUUUGAGAUCUUUCUUCUCAUGAUUCCAUGUUAGGUACAACAACUAUGACCGGGCUGUCAUCAAUACCGUUCCUUAUGAUGUCGUCCAUCGCUGGUAUACAGCACACCGGACUCUAACGAUAGAGUUGAGGAGACCUGAGAAUGAGUUUUGGGUCAAACUAAAGCCUGGCAGGGUCCUAUUUAUAGACAACUGGCGUGUCCUACAUGGCAGGGAAUGCUUCACUGGCUACCGCCAACUCUGUGGCUGCUAUUUAACAAGAGAUGAUGUAUUAAACACUGCUCGCCUCUUGGGGCUUCAGGCUUAAAAUUGACAGCAUCUGGAUUAUGAAUACACCUGGCACCCUGGCUACCAGAAUUUCAUAUGGGCAGAAUAAUAUUGUGUCAAACUCUACUUCAGAUUGUCUCCUUAUCCCAUCCCACAAAACAGAAUCUGUCCGUUUCUCUAGUAAGGGAGACUUGUUGGAGAGGGGGGACUCUGAGUUAUCUAAUGUCAGACAUCUAGUGGGGCAGCUCUCUUCCUCAUGUUAUAACAUGGAUCCACUUGUUUUAUUUAAACCUUUUAAUAUAAUUUUGGUCAGUCUCCUUCAGAAAUAUAAUCUCCAUAUUGAUAGGAAAGCAAUAAUUGCCAUGAGGUAACGAUUUUUUUUCCUCAGUAGAUCAGUUAGAAAGAAAUGCAUUCCAGAAAUAACAAAAAUCCUGAUAAAGCAACAAUUUGCAAAAUGUUUGGUCUUAGGACACCUUAACACUCUCAAAAGUUAUUGAAGGCCCCAAGGAGUUCUUGGGUGUGGGUUCUAUCUAUUGAUACUAAUUAUUUUAGGUAUUAAGACUGAGAAAUAUUUAAAACUCAAGAAGAACACAGAAGCACACAUCCCUCAGCUAUCAGAGAGAUGACAUAACCAUAUGUCAUGUAGCCUCUGGAAAAGUCCUCUGUAUCCUCAUGAGAUAACGAGAGGGGGAUAAAAAGCUACUACUGCCUUUGUAACUUCCACUUAGCCUACUACAGGGCUAUGCACAUCUUAGUUUCCAAAAGUCUGCUUAAUUUCAAAAGAAAAAUGCCUAAUUGAAUGUAACUCAUCUUGGCGUUAUUAUACAAAAUAAUGUUUAAUCUGCAGACCCACGAAAAGGGUCUCAGGGACUCCUCCAGGGGUCUUCAGACCAUACUUUGAGAACCCAUGGGCUAGCGACUACCUUGAGACAGUCCUUUACCUAGGCCUGUGGAUUAAAGGGUUUAGCUGAAACCCUAGAUUCUUCUCUAUAGUCCAAUAGAACUCCAAA